AGAACAUAAGGACAUUCUUCAUAUACAACAUGGUGAUGAUCGGGUGGAUGAGUUGCACAAAAAAAAAUUUGUGGAAUGGUUUUCUAAGAAGAUCCAACAAUUGUAUGUAGAUGGAAAAGUGAGCGCUCAAAUGCGUUCUUUGGCCCAAAGUCCUGGAAAGCAAGCUGUCUACUACAAAGGUUACAAUAUCCAUGGAUUUCGGUUCCAUACUGUACAACAUGACGUGACGAAGAAAACACAAAAUAGCGGAGUUAUGGUCAAAGGAGAGAACCAAAUUAAUUGUGUGCCUUGGUAUGGAACCCUUACAGACGUCGUUGAGCUCUGGUAUACAAAUCACAAUAAAGUUGUCUUGUUUCACUGUAAUUGGUUUGACACAGCUACCAAAGGCAAAGGUUAUAAGGAAGAUCGUUAUGGCAUACUAAGUGUCAACAAUAAGGGUAAGUUGAAUACCCAAGAGCCAUUUGUGCUGGCAUCCCAAGCAACCCAGGUUUAUUAUGUUGAAGGAAUAAAAAACAGUGCUUGGAGUGUCGUGGUGGAAACCAAACCCAGAAACGUUUUUGAAAUGCCUACUAAUGAAGAGGAACCGUAUCAAGAAGAAGAAUCUCAGAUGAGUCACACAUAUGCAAACCGUAACGAGGAAGAAGAUAAUGAAGAAUGAGUACUGUCCAUUUGGCAAGGUUGAAGUCUAGACAUCUGAAAUCAGCCGGCAAAAUUUAGGCCUAUUAAUGUGCAUUGUAAUGUAUAUGUUGGUGUUCACAUAAAUUUGAAUUGUAUCUCUUUGUUGUUUUGUGUUCCUUGGGAGUGGUUUUGGUCUAGUCCCCCUUCCCUUUUGUAUUUUUUUUUUAUCAAUAAAAUUUCGAAUAAGGGCGAAGAGUUAGCUCUUA